UGGAGCUGAGACACAGAACCUACUCCUGCGGGAGGCCGCGAUGGCGAAUAUUGGACAAUGGGGGCAACCCUGAUCCACCCAUGCCGCGUGUGUGCACAAGGCCUGAGGGUUGCACACCUAUUUCAGCGGGGAUGAGGGUUUAUAGGUUAAGAUCUAAUUAACUGGACGUUACCCACUUAAGAAGCACCGGCUAACACCGUACCAGCAGCCGCGGUAAUACGGAGGGUGCGAGCGUUAAUCGGAAUUACUGGGCGUAAAGGGUGCGCAGGUGGUUGAUUAAGUUAUCUGUGAAAUUCCUGGGCUUAACCUGGGACGGUCAGAUAAUACUGGUUGACUCGAGUAUGGGAGAGGGUAGUGGAAUUUCCGGUGUAGCGGUGAAAUGCGUAUAGCUCGGACGGAACACCAUUGGCUAAGGCGGCUACCUGGCCUAAUACUGAAACUGAGGCACGAAAGCGUGGUGAGCGAACAUGAUUCAAAUACCUGGUAUUCCGCGCUGGAAGCCAUGUCAACUAGCUUUUGGUUAUAUGAAUGUAAUUAAUGGCGAAGCAAACUCGCAUAACUGUACCGCUUGUGGGGUACGAUCGCAUAAUUAUAACUCANAAGAAUUUACUGGGGUCCGCCCACGACAGUGAAUCAUGUAGGUUAUAUUUGUUUGAUCGCAAAGAACAUUACUUACCAUUGACUCACUUCAAUUUUGUAUAGAUCCCUUAGUCCUGACGGGA
rnacentral:rRNA from 1 species